rnacentral:rRNA from 1 species
UGGGGAAUAUUGCGCAAUGGGGGGAACCCUGACGCAGCCAUGCCGCGUGAAUGAAGAAGGCCUUAGGGUUGUAAAGUUCUUUCGGUAUUGAGGAAGGUUGAUGUGUUAAUAGCACAUCAAAUUGACGUUAAAUACAGAAGAAGCACCGGCUAACUCCGUGCCAGCAGCCGCGGUAAUACGGAGGGUGCGAGCGUUAAUCGGAAUAACUGGGCGUAAAGGGCACGCAGGCGGUUAUUUAAGUGAGGUGUGAAAGCCCCGGGCUUAACCUGGGAAUUGCAUUUCAGGCUGGGUAACUAGAGUACUUUAGGGAGGGGUAGAAUUCCACGUGUAGCGGUGAAAUGCGUAGAGAUGUGGAGGAAUACCGAAGGCGAAGGCAGCCCCUUGGGAAUGUACUGACGCUCAUGUGCGAAAGCGUGGGGAGCAAACAGGAUUAGAUACCCUGGUAGUCCACGCUGUAAACGCUGUCGAUUUGGGGGUUGGGGUUUAACUCUGGCGCCCGUAGCUAACGUGAUAAAUCGACCGCCUGGGGAGUACGGCCGCAAGGUUA